CGGCGUGCCUAACACAUGCAAGUCGAGCGAGGAGAUUCCUUCGGGAUGAUCCUAGCGGCGGACGGGUGAGUAACACGUGGGCAACCUGCCUCAUAGAGAGGAAUAGCCUUCCGAAAGGGAGAUUAAUACCUCAUAACAUUGCAGUUUCGCAUGAAACAGCAAUUAAAGGAGCAAUCCGCUAUGAGAUGGGCCCGCGGCGCAUUAGCUAGUUGGUGAGGUAACGGCUCACCAAGGCGACGAUGCGUAGCCGACCUGAGAGGGUGAUCGGCCACAUUGGGACUGAGACACGGCCCAGACUCCUACGGGAGGCAGCAGUGGGGAAUAUUGCACAAUGGGGGAAACCCUGAUGCAGCAACGCCGCGUGAGUGAUGACGGCCUUCGGGUUGUAAAGCUCUGUCUUCAGGGACGAUAAUGACGGUACCUGAGGAGGAAGCCACGGCUAACUACGUGCCAGCAGCAGC
rnacentral:rRNA from 1 species